rnacentral:rRNA from 1 species
UACGGGGGGUGCGAGCGUUGUCCGGAAUCACUGGGCGUAAAGGGCGCGUAGGUGGCCUGAUAAGGGUGUGGUGAAAGUCCGGGGCUCAACCCCGGAUCGGCCGUGCCGACUGUUAGGCUAGAGUACUGUAGGGGCAGGCGGAAUUCCGGGUGUAGCGGUGGAAUGCGUAGAGAUCCGGAAGAACACCGGUGGCGAAGGCGGCCUGCUGGGCAGUAGCUGACACUGAGGCGCGACAGCGUGGGGAGCAAACAGG